UAUGAGAUGUUUGCAAAAGGUCGUAAGGACACAAAUAGAUAGCAGCGACUGAGGAAUUCCUUCCCCUUAAAUUACUGUUUAGAUUUGAAGUGUUGGCAGUACUCGAUCAUACCCGGUCAAUGGUUGACAAUUCCGAAUAAAGUGUCACACUUAACACGAUUGAAGAUACCCCAGCGCAAUUUAAAUAGAACUCUGAUUCGCGAUCGCAUUUUGUAUUACUAUUUUCGAAGUAAAAGUGCUAAAGACACUACAAAACUAAGUUUUCAGGAGUAUAGAGUGAAUGUUCUGCCCCUUAGUGUCUGCAAAUUUUGGUUUAACAAGUUUGAGUUGGGUGUUUAUGAUCACUCCUUACUUUAUGCAACUAGAAGCGAAGUGGAAGUAGUAUUGUACAAGGAGAACCCGUCCCAAAUACACCAGAAGAUCGCAGAGCAGUUUAGACUUUCUCGCCGAACAGUAUCGAGACAUAUGAAAGAAUUAAUAGAGAACAGGCAGAUAGAAUGACCAGUUACAACUAGAAGCUGAUUGGAAGCACUGCUAGACAGGAAACCGGACCUAACACACGCGGACCUCGCUGAACAGCUUGGAAUUACUGAAAUAACAGUAUCGUAUUAUUUGAAAGCAAAAAGAGAGAAUCAGGAGAAAAAAAGACAAGUUGACCAGGUGAAUAUGGAUGUAACGAUAUCGGACUCGGAUACAGACUAUAAUGAAGACGAUAAUACUCUCAUUGCGGCACGCACGUGACAAAGUGCUCACAUCAUAAGUAUACAGUGAGCGACUGCUUCCUUUUUACUCGGAGAUUUGCGGCACUUGUCAGCAACGCUUGAAUAACGUAACAAACUGUUAGCGUAAUAUAACGUUUGUAACAUUCGGAAAAGUUAGGAGAAUGUACAUGUCUCUGCUAUUUAUUAUUAGAAAAGUUUAAUUAAUGACAUAUAUUUUCUGACAACCUUAACUAUCGGUUUCUCAGGAUAUAGUUCUUCGCAAAUGAACGUUUAAUCAUUAAUAUGCUUUUAACAAUAAAAGUAUUAGAAACGAUAACUUUAAUCACUCGUUUAAGAUGUAUUGUAAUAAUGGAAUAGUAUUAAACCUAAUCUAACUAUGCAA